UACAGAGGUCUCAAGCGUUGUUCGGAUUCAUUGGGCGUAAAGGGUGCGUAGGUGGCGCUGUAAGUCGGGUGUGAAAUUUCGGAGCUUAACUCCGAAACUGCAUUCGAUACUGCGGUGCUUGAGGGACUGGAGAGGAGACUGGAAUUCAUGGUGUAGCAGUGAAAUGCGUAGAGAUCAUGAGGAAGACCAGUGGCGAAGGCGGGUCUCUGGACAGUUCCUGACACUGAGGCACGAAGGCCAGGGAGCAAACGGG
rnacentral:rRNA from 1 species